GUAGGGUGACCCUACCACCAUCCAAUUUUAAUUCAUAAAAAAGUCCCUACGGCAAAGCUUUUGUCCACACUAGGUACAAAUGAUAGGCAAUUGCCUAAGGUUGCCUGGACCCAAAGACCCAGGUGGGUAAAGUUACGGAACUUUUUUAAUUGAGGUCCAAAGUUGGGGUAGGGUGACCCAACCCCCUCCCUUCUUUAAUUCAUAAAAAAGUCCCUACGGCAAAGCUUUUGUCCACACUGGGUACAAAUGAUAGGCAAUUGCCUAAGGUUGCCUGGACCCAAAGACCCAGAUGGAUAAAGUUACGGAACUUUUUUAAUUGAGGUCCAAAGUUGGGGUAGGGUGACCCAACCCCCUCCCUUCUUUAAUUCAUAAAAAAGUCCCUACGGCAAAGCUUUUGUCCACACUAGAUACAAAUGAUAGGCAAUUGCCUAAGGUUGCCUGGACCCAAAGACCCAGGUGGGUAAAGUUACGGAACUUUUUUAAUUGAGGUCCAAAGUUGGGGUAGGGUGACCCAACCC